CCUCGUAGCAAUGUUCUGGAAUCCUACGUGAUGGACAAACAUUUAGACCAUAGCAGCAGUGUUCUGGAAUCCUAUGUGAGGGA
rnacentral:pre_miRNA from 1 species